rnacentral:rRNA from 1 species
AGAGUUUGAUCAUGGCUCAGAUUGAACGCUGGCGGAAUGCUUUACACAUGCAAGUCGAACGGCAGCACGGGGCAACCUGGUGGCGAGUGGCGAACGGGUGAGUAAUACAUCGGAACGUGCCCAAUCGUGGGGAUAACGUAGCGAAAGUUACGCUAAUACCGCAUACGAUCUACGGAUGAAAGCGGGGGAUCGCAAGACCUCGCGCGAGUGGAGCGGCCGAUGUCAGAUUAGGUAGUUGGUGGGGUAAAGGCUCACCAAGCCAACGAUCUGUAGCUGGUCUGAGAGGACGACCAGCCACACUGGAACUGAGACGCGGUCCAGACUCCUACGGGAGGCAGCAGUGGGGAAUUUUGGACAAUGGGCGCAAGCCUGAUCCAGCCAUUCCGCGUGCAGGAUGAAGGCCUUCGGGUUGUAAACUGCUUUUGUACGGAACGAAACGGCGAGCUCUAAUACAGUUUGCUAAUGACGGUACCGUAAGAAUAAGCACCGGCUAACUACGUG